rnacentral:lncRNA from 1 species
GUUGUUUGCGAUUUUCGGUCUUAGAGACUGCCAGUUAUGUUAGGAAAAUAAGGGUUUUUCCUGCAUCUAAAACAAACAACUAAUAGGAAAAUAAGGGAUUUUCCUGGUGCAAUUAUUUACGACUUGUAACACGAACAUACAUAUGAAUUUCAUACUUUUAUAAGAAAAUAAGGGUUUCUCUUGGAAAACACAACAAAUCAUAUCUCAACUAUUAGGGAAAAUAUGGGAUUUUCUGGAUCUAAUACAUUCAUUUCAACAUAACGAAUCAUAACUCUUUUCAUUUGAAAAUNUUGUGAAAAAGGAUAAACUUUGCAUACAAAACUACUACUUUAAUACAGACUUAGUUGAGAAUCCGUGAGACGUGUAUAUCUUCAAAUAAUACCUUUUUGCUAAAAGGUACCGUACAAGUCCUGUCUAUAACCAGAGUCUCCCGUUCGGAGAACGUGUCAAAUGUGUAUAGAUCUAUACGGGAAGUCAUGAUCCCGCGCCCUGACUGUUAGCUACAGUCCGUCUUUUGGGGUGAAGGUUGUCAUAACGCUACGACGCCUGAAGAACGUCGCUACAGGCAUAUUAUGUUUAGUAUGGUUAUAAAACUCAUCGGAUAUACAAUUAUUAUGGUAUUAGGCUUUUAUGAACGAGUAGCUAUUAAAACUAUUCUUCAUCUAACAAGUGCGAUCUUCGUAUAGCUUUAUUAUAUAAAACUAUGCCACACCUUUUAAGCACGUCGGUUGCUUGCGAUUUUCGGUCUUAAAGACUGCCAGUUAUGUUAGGAAAAUAAGGGUUUUUCAUGCAUCUAAAACAAACAACUAAUAGGAAAAUAAGGGAUUUUCCUGGUGCAAUUAUUUACGACUUGUAACACGAACAUUCAUAUGCAUUUCAUACUUUUAUAAGAAAAUAAGGGUUUUUCUUGGAAAACACAACAAAUCAUAUCUCAACUAUUAGGGAAAAUAUGGGAUUUUCUGGAUCUAAUACAUUCUUUUCAACACAACGAAUUAUAACUCUUUUCACUUGAAAAUACCAUGUUUUCUUGAAAACAUACACAAACUUUCGAAUGACGUGCAUUUUCUCAAAACACUACUUAUGAACUCAACAACUUGAUUGUUGACACUUUCUCUUUGAAAUAAUUUGUAUUCUCAGGGAACCGCUAAGCAGGUUUGGAAAUCAACUUUUGGGGAUUAAACGUGCUGACGUUAAUUACUUCUUUUGAAAGAUGUUUAUGUAUUUAUCUUUUGAACAUGUAACGAAUACAAUUAUGUAAAUAUUUUGGAAACCUUAAUAUAUUUGGUGGUGUGUACUUUCCUUUCUAUGAAGUGUUAUGAUACUGAAUAUGACGUCCUCCGCCCCCGAACGUUUCCGCCAUUCUAGAUUGGGGGCAAAACCGGCAACACUGAUAGACGUAAAACGCGAAGUUUCAAUACAAUAAUUUUUAGCCUUAGGUAUCUAAAUGAAAGUUUUAGAUAUCAUUAAACCGUAAACGUACAUAAAAAGAACGUCCAAAUCUGACUUCGUAUGAGGAAGUUAUGAUUUUUCUAAGUUACGGAUAUAGCAGUAGACAGCUAAAAACUCGAAAUAGAGAUCGAGAGACUUUUAGCCGACACAAACUAAAUGAGAAUCGAAGGUCUCAACAAUAGAAGCGCAACGGUAAAAACUCUGACGGAAACGGACGUCGGAUGAAAAAGUUAUGGAACUUUGACGGACUUUUCCUAUCCCGACGUAUUAAAAAUAUAAUAUUAAAAANNNNNNNNNNNNNNNNNNNNNNNNNNNNNNNNNNNNNNNNNNNNNNNNNNNNNNNNNNNNNNNNNNNNNNNNNNNNNNNNNNNNNNNNNNNNNNNNNNNNACAACUAAUAGGAAAAUAAGAGAUUUUCCUGGUGCAAUUAUUUACGGCUUGUAACACGAACAUUCAUAUGCAUUUCAUACUUUUAUAAUAAAAAUAAGGGUUUUUCUUGGAAAACACAACAAAUCAUAUCUCAACUAUUAGGGAAAAUAUGGGAUUUUCUGGAUCUAAUACAUUCUUUUCAACACAACGAAUUAUAACUCUUUUCAUUUGAAAAUACCGUGUUUUCUUGAAAACAUACACAAACUUUCGAAUGACGUGCAUUUUCUCAAAACACUACUUAUGAACUCAACAACUUGAUUGUUGACACUUUCUCUUUGAAAUAACUUGUAUUCUCAGGGAACCGCUAAGCAGGUUUGGAAAUCAACUUUUGGGGAUUAAACGUGCUGACGUUAAUUACUUCUUUUGAAAGAUGUUUAUGUAUUUAUCUUUUGAACAUGUAACGAAUACAAUUAUGUAAAUAUUUUGGAGACCUUAAUAUAUUUGGUGGUGUGUACUUUCCUUUCUAUGAACUGUUAUGAUACUGAAUAUGACGUCCUCCGCCCCCGAACGUUUCCGCCGUUCUGGUUUGGGGGCAAAACCGGCAACACUGAUAGACAUAAAAUGCGAAGUUUCAAUACAGUAAUGUUUAGCCUUAGGUAUCUAAAUGAAUGUUUUAGAUUUCAUUAAACUGUAAACGUACAUCAAAAGAACAUCCAAAUCUGACUUCGUAUGAGGAAGUUAUGAUUUUUCUAAGUUACGGAUAUAGCAGUAGACAGCUUAAAACUCGAAAUAGAUAUUGAGAGACUUUUAGUCGACAAAAACUAAAUGAGAAUCGAAGGUCUCAACAAUAGAAGCGCAACGGUAAAAAGUCUGAUGGAAACGGACAUUGGAUGAAAAAGUUAUGGAACUUUAACGGACUUUUCCUAUCCCGACGUAUUAAAAAUAUAAUAUUAAAAAUAAAUUCAAAAUUGGCCAACGGAGUCUAGACGAAAGUUGUAGAUCGUAGUCUCACCUUCGCGUGGAUACAAAGAACAUCUAAAACGGAGUUCGUAUGACGAAGAUAUGAAUUUUAGAAGUUUGCUAAAUAAUAAAUAUAUAAAUUUAAAAUGAAUUCCGGUAUU